rnacentral:rRNA from 1 species
GACGAACGCUGGCGGCGUGCUUAACACAUGCAAGUCGAACGGAAAGGCCCUGCUUUUGUGGGGUGCUCGAGUGGCGAACGGGUGAGUAACACGUGAGUAACCUGCCCUUGACUUUGGGAUAACUUCAGGAAACUGGGGCUAAUACCGGAUAGGAGCUCCUGCUGCAUGGUGGGGGUUGGAAAGUUUCGGCGGUUGGGGAUGGACUCGCGGCUUAUCAGCUUGUUGGUGGGGUAGUGGCUUACCAAGGCUUUGACGGGUAGCCGGCCUGAGAGGGUGACCGGCCACAUUGGGACUGAGAGACGGCCCAGUCUCCUACGGGAGGCAGCAGUGGGGAAUAUUGCACAAUGGGCGGAAGCCUGAUGCAGCAACGCCGCGUGCGGGAUGACGGCCUUCGGGUUGUAAACCGCUUUCGCCUGUGACGAAGCGUGAGUGACGGUAAUGGGUAAAGAAGCACCGGCUAACUACGUG